GACGAACGCUGGCGGCGUGCUUAACACAUGCAAGUCGAACGAAGUGGCGAACGGGUGAGUAACGUGUAAUCAACCUGCCCUUCAGAGGGGGACAACAGUUGGAAACGACUGCUAAUACCGCAUACUGAAGGAGGGGUUUGCGUCGGAUUAGCUAGUUGGAGGGGUAACGGCCCACCAAGGCGCCGAUCAGUAGCCGGUCUAAGGGGAUGAACGGCUAAAUUGGGACGGAGGAACGGGCCAAAGUCCUACGGGAGGCAGCAGUGGGGAAUCUGCCGGAAUGGACGAAAGUCUGACGGAGCAACGCCGCGUGAGUGAUGACGGCCUUCGGGUUGUAAAGCUCUGUUAAUCGGGACGCGGUACCGGAAUAGAAAGCCACGGCUAACUACGUGCCAGCAGCCGCGGUAAUUC
rnacentral:rRNA from 1 species